UACGUAGGGGGGCAAGCGUUGUCCGGAUUUAUUGGGUCGUAAAGGAGCGUGUAGGCGGCUUUACAGGUCCGAUUGUGGAAAACUACGUAGGCUAGCAACCCUCCGAGACGCCGGUGGAAACCGAUAAAGCUUAGAGUCCGGAAGAGGAGAGUAGGAAUUCCUGGUGUAGCGGUGAAAUGCGCAGAUAUCAGGAGGAACACCCGUGGCGAAAGCGGCUCUCUGGGACGGUACUGACGCUGAGACGCGGAAAGCGUGGGGAGCAAACAGG
rnacentral:rRNA from 1 species